AUGCCCCUAGCUGAUCUCAAUAGCCUCGCCCCAAGCGAGCCAGAGCCGGCCGUGGUGCCCCCCUCCCCGCGCCGCAGCUCCCGCAUCAUGCAGAGGUAUGACGGGGAGCGUGUCGGCUCUGUGGAGCGUGCAUCCAAGCGCAAGGCGUUGGUGUCCGGCAUCAGCUCUGAAGGUGCAGCCGCUCGCCGCUCCGGCUCGUCCGGCAGCCGUCGCAAGAAGGCGAAGAUUGAGGCGGUCGCUGGGCUCCUGGAGCUGCCCCUCUCUGGAACCCCUCGUCCUCUGACCCGGGGCAAGCUCAAGCAGUUGGCUCGGUGCUGCGAGCUCAACGCCGAGGCCAUCCUCUCUCAAGCAGAAGCUUCCUCGUGCCCUUCCACUUCGACUGAUGGCUCAACUGCUUCCUCUGUGGGUGCUGAACAUCGUCCUGAUGUGUAG
rnacentral:rRNA from 1 species